UACAGAGGUGGCAAGCGUUGUUCGGAAUUACUGGGCGUAAAGGGCGCGUAGGCGGCCAUCUAAGUCAGACGUGAAAUCCCCCGGCUUAACCUGGGAACUGCGUCUGAUACUGGACGGCUCGAGUUUGGGAGAGGGAUGUGGAAUUCCAGGUGUAGCGGUGAAAUGCGUAGAUAUCGGGAGGAACAUCAGUGGCGAAGGCGGCCCUCUGGUCCAGUACUGACACUCAAGUGCGAAAGCGUGGGGAGCAAACAGG
rnacentral:rRNA from 1 species